CAGAUACGUUGAAUGGCCGCUCCGCCUCGUCGGCGGGGAGGAAAGUCCGAACACUGUUCUAGUUGGUUUCGGCUGACUAGAUCGCAGGCAGUGGCUAACGGCCACGUCCCGGUAAUGCCGGGAACGGAUAGUGCAACAGAAAAUAUACAGCCCUUUUUAAAAAAAGAGCAAUAGGUGAAAUCGUGCGGUAAGAGCGCACGCCAUGCUAUCGCGAGAUAGUUUGGUGGAAAACCCUGCCUGGUGCAAGGCCGUGUCCCGGUGCAAACCGGGAAGUGCCGCUUGAUCUUGCUCGGUAACGAGCGGGACAGAUAAAUGGCCAUUUCCGCCGAUGAGGCGGAACAGAAUUCGGCUUAUAGGCGUAUCAAAUUA
rnacentral:RNase_P_RNA from 3 species